rnacentral:lncRNA from 1 species
UCAACCCUGGUAUCACAGAGCUGUGACCAUCCAUGUGUGUAACAUGGUGAUGGACGGCAGAAGGAUCCCCAAGAGGAACAGACAAAUUAGGAUUCCCAUGAUUAACAGACACACAUUCAUCACCAGUGGAGAUAUGAGCAGCUGCAGAUUUCCUUCCCUUGUUGUAAUUUAUGUUUUGAGGAAACCCAUGGAUCUUAUUCAUCACCAGUGGAGACAUGAGCAACUGCAUAUUUUCUUCCCUUGUUGUAAUUUAUGUUUUGAGGGAACCCAUGGAUCUUGUAGCACUUAUCAAUUAAGUGCCCAGAUUUGUUGCAGUAUCUGCAAAAUAAGGGCCCUCUGCUUUGCUCAAAAUUAAUUCUGGGCACUUAAUUGAUAAGUGCNNCUUGUAGCACUUAUCAAUUAAGUGCCCAGAUUUCUUGCAGUAUCUGCAAAAUAAGGGCCCUCUGCUUUGCUCAAAAUUAAUUCUGGGUCUGAAAAUGGGGCUCAAGGCACUGUGGCCUGAUUAAACCCAACUGAGUGCUUGUUUGUAUGAGCAUUAAAAGACAUAGAAUCUGGACUGAUUUGAGAAAUAGAUUGAAUUGUCUCUUUUUGUCAUCAUUAAGCACUAUGUUGUAAACAUUGUCAAGGGAAGGAAAUGGCUGCAUCAUCAACAGAUUACUCCUAACCCCCAUGUAUGCUUCAUN